rnacentral:rRNA from 1 species
AUGGGAAAUCACCCCUGGGUGAUACUAGGGGAUUUCAAUGAAAUUUUACUCUCAUCAAAAAAGGAGGGUGGUAAUGCGAGACCGAAUGCUAUGAUGAGAGAUUUUCGUAAUUGUCUAGCGGAGUGCGGUCUUGAAGAUAUGGGAUGCAUUGGUGAUCCUUUCACUUGGAGGAGAGGCGAUACUAGGGAGAGGCUUGACCAUGCGGUGUGCAAUGUGGAAUGAGCGAAUAAAUUCCCUCAGGCUGCAAUUAUUAACGAGGAACAUGUUCAUUCCGAUCAUCGCCCACUCGUCCUGGAUAUAGAGUAUUAUGACAGCAAUAUUUUUAAUAGCCCAAGGGGACUAGUGAGACAGUUUGAAGCACGAUGGCUCAAAGAGGAGAUGAUUAUAGAAACUAUCCGUACAACAUGGGAAAAGGCAAAAAAAAAAUGGGUAUUGGGCCAAGCCUCGCUGAUCGUACUCGAGCGGUACAGGCAGAUUUGCAUAAUUAGGACAGGGAGACUUUGA